rnacentral:pre_miRNA from 1 species
UCUUACGGGUGAGCAAAGAAAGUGGUUUCUUGAAGUGGAAUCUACUCCAGGUAUAGAUGCUGUGAA